rnacentral:rRNA from 1 species
CCUACGGGUGGCAGCAGUGAGGAAUAUUGGUCAAUGGACGAGAGUCUGAACCAGCCAAGUAGCGUGAAGGAUGACUGCCCUAUGGGUUGUAAACUUCUUUUAUAUGGGAAUAAAAUGUUCCACGUGUGGGAUUUUGUAUGUACCAUAUGAAUAAGGAUCGGCUAACUCCGUGCCAGCAGCCGCGGUAAUACGGAGGAUCCGAGCGUUAUCCGGAUUUAUUGGGUUUAAAGGGAGCGUAGGUGGAUUGUUAAGUCAGUUGUGAAAGUUUGCGGCUCAACCGUAAAAUUGCAGUUGAAACUGGCAGUCUUGAGUACAGUAGAGGUGGGCGGAAGUCGUGGUGGAGCGGUGAAAUGCUUAGAUAUCACGAAGAACUCCGAUUGCGAAGGCAGUUCACUGGACUGCAACUGACACUGAGGCUCGAAAGUGUGGGUAUCAAACAGGAUUAGAUACCCUAGUAGUC